rnacentral:rRNA from 1 species
UCAAGCGAACAAGUGCAUGUGGUGGAUGCCUUGGCGAUCACAGGCGAUGAAGGACGCGGUAGCCUGCGAAAAGCUACGGGGAGCUGGCAAACAAGCUUUGAUCCGUAGAUGUCCGAAUGGGGAAACCCACUCCUUUUGGAGUAUCCAUGGCUGAAUACAUAGGCCAUGUGAAGCGAACGCGGUGAACUGAAACAUCUAAGUAACCGCAGGAAAAGAAAUCAACCGAGAUUCCCAAAGUAGUGGCGAGCGAAAUGGGAUGAGCCUUGCACUCUUUAUUUGUAUUGUUAGCCGAACGCUCUGGAAAGUGCGGCCAUAGCAGGUGAUAGCCCUGUAGGCGAAAACAGUAUGAAAGAACUAGGUGUGCGACAAGUAGGGCGGGACACGUGAAAUCCUGUCUGAAGAUGGGGGGACCAUCCUCCAAGGCUAAAUACUCGUGAUCGACCGAUAGUGAACCAGUACCGUGAGGGAAAGGCGAAAAGAACCCCGGGAGGGGAGUGAAAUAGAUCCUGAAACCGCAUGCAUACAAACAGUCGGAGCCUCGUAAGGGGUGACGGCGUACCUUUUGUAUAAUGGGUCAGCGACUUACGUUCAGUAGCAAGCUUAACCGUAUAGGGCAGGCGUAGCGAAAGCGAGUCCGAAUAGGGCGUUCAGUUGCUGGGCGUAGACCCGAAACCAGGUGAUCUAUCCAUGGCCAGGAUGAAGGUGCGGUAACACGUACUGGAGGUCCGAACCCACUAACGUUGAAAAGUUAGGGGAUGAGCUGUGGAUAGGGGUGAAAGGCUAAACAAACCUGGAAAUAGCUGGUUCUCUCCGAAAACUAUUUAGGUAGUGCCUCGUGUCUCACCUUCGGGGGUAGAGCACUGUCAUGGUUGGGGGGUCUAUUGCAGAUUACCCCGCCAUAGCAAACUCCGAAUACCGAAGAGUGCAAUCACGGGAGACAGACAUCGGGUGCUAACGUCCGGUGUCAAGAGGGAAACAACCCAGACCGCCAGCUAAGGUCCCCAAAUAUAGCUAAGUGGGAAACGAAGUGGGAAGGCUAAAACAGUCAGGAGGUUGGCUUAGAAGCAGCCACCCUUUAAAGAAAGCGUAAUAGCUCACUGAUCGAGUCGUCCUGCGCGGAAGAUGUAACGGGGCUAAGCUAUAUACCGAAGCUGCGGAUGCGUGCUUUGCACGCAUGGUAGGAGAGCGUUCCGUAAGCCUGCGAAGGUGCCUUGUAAAGGGUGCUGGAGGUAUCGGAAGUGCGAAUGCUGACAUGAGUAGCGAUAAAGGGGGUGAAAGGCCCCCUCGCCGUAAGCCCAAGGUUUCCUACGCAACGUUCAUCGGCGUAGGGUGAGUCGGCCCCUAAGGCGAGGCAGAAAUGCGUAGCUGAUGGGAAGCAGGUCAAUAUUCCUGCACCAUUGUUAGAUGCGAUGGGGGGACGGAUCGCGGAAGGUUGUCCGGGUGUUGGAAGUCCCGGUCGCUGCAUUGGAGAAGGCGCUUAGGCAAAUCCGGGCGCGGAAUUCAAGGGUGUGGCGCGAGCUCCUUAGGGAGCGAAGCAAUUGGAAGUGGUUCCAAGAAAAGCCUCUAAGCUUCAGUCUAAUGAUGACCGUACCGCAAACCGACACAGGUGGGCGAGAUGAGUAUUCUAAGGCGCUUGAGAGAACUCGGGAGAAGGAACUCGGCAAAUUGGUACCGUAACUUCGGGAUAAGGUACGCCCUUGUAGCUUGACUGGCUUGCGCCAGAAGGGUGAAGGGGUUGCAAUAAACUGGUGGCUGCGACUGUUUAAUAAAAACACAGCACUCUGCAAACACGAAAGUGGACGUAUAGGGUGUGACGCCUGCCCGGUGCCGGAAGAUUAAAUGAUGGGGUGCAAGCUCUUGAUUGAAGUCCCGGUAAACGGCGGCCGUAACUAUAACGGUCCUAAGGUAGCGAAAUUCCUUGUCGGGUAAGUUCCGACCUGCACGAAUGGCGUAACGAUGGCCACACUGUCUCCUCCCGAGACUCAGCGAAGUUGAAGUGUUUGUGAUGAUGCAAUCUACCCGCGGCUAGACGGAAAGACCCCAUGAACCUUUACUGUAGCUUUGCAUUGGACUUUGAACCGAUCUGUGUAGGAUAGGUGGGAGGCUAUGAAACCGGAACGCUAGUUUCGGUGGAGCCGUCCUUGAAAUACCACCCUGGUUUGUUUGAGGUUCUAACCUUGGCCCGUGAUCCGGGUCGGGGACAGUGCAUGGUAGGCAGUUUGACUGGGGCGGUCUCCUCCCAAAGCGUAACGGAGGAGUACGAAGGUACGCUAGGUACGGUCGGAAAUCGUGCUGAUAGUGCAAUGGCAUAAGCGUGCUUAACUGCGAGACCGACAAGUCGAGCAGGUGCGAAAGCAGGUCAUAGUGAUCCGGUGGUUCUGUAUGGAAGGGCCAUCGCUCAACGGAUAAAAGGUACUCUGGGGAUAACAGGCUGAUACCGCCCAAGAGUUCAUAUCGACGGCGGUGUUUGGCACCUCGAUGUCGGCUCAUCUCAUCCUGGGGCUGUAGCCGGUCCCAAGGGUAUGGCUGUUCGCCAUUUAAAGAGGUACGUGAGCUGGGUUUAAAACGUCGUGAGACAGUUUGGUCCCUAUCUGCCGUGGGCGUUGGAUAUUUGAAGGGGGCUGCUCCUAGUACGAGAGGACCGGAGUGGACGAACCUCUGGUGUACCGGUUGUCACGCCAGUGGCAUCGCCGGGUAGCUAUGUUCGGAAGAGAUAACCGCUGAAAGCAUCUAAGCGGGAAACUCGCCUUAAGAUGAGAUAUCCCUGGGGACUAGAUCCCCUUGAAGGGUCGUUCGAGACCAGGACGUUGAUAGGUCAGGUGUGUAAGCGCAGUAAUGCGUUCAGCUAACUGAUACUAAUUGCCCGUAAGGCUUGAUCCU